ensembl:lncRNA
AUGCUUAUCCAAAAAACAGAAAACUUCAUCCCCUUUGAUGAGCAUGAGGAGCUCAUCACAGCCCUCCUUGCUGGGCGGUGGUGGGCAGUGAUGGAGAUCGAAGACCAUUUACGCUCCUCAUGUGAGAAGGUUGAGUGUGGGGACCUCCCUAUAGACCAGGAAAUAGAGGCCCCACAAGGAGCACCUGUUCCUGUCAGCUCCACACAGGAAGUGCCUGUGCCUUCCAGGAUCCUAAAAGGACCAGUUGUUCCCAACGGGUCCCAACAGGAAGUGCCUGUGUCUUCCAGGACCACAAAAGUACCAACUGUUCCGGACAAGUCUCAAUGGGAAAUGCCUGUGCUUUCCAGGAACCUUCAAGGACCAACUGUUCCGGACGAGUCUCAAUGGGAAGUGCCUGUGCUUUCCAGGAACCUGCAAGGAGCAACUGUUCCUGACGGGUCCCAAAAGGAAGCACCUGUGCCAGCUAGGCCCCCACUGAGGCAGAAACUGAGGAUCCCUGAAAAUAUGAGGCAGUAUCUGACAAGGAAAUCCAUCUUAACAUCUUUGCCUUUAAGGCAACCCAUGGGACGACCUAUACCCCCAGCAUCCCCUGAGCAAGCACCUGUGCCUGUUGCGUCCCCCGAGGAAGCACCUGUUCUUGCCAGAACCCUGCAAGGAGCAACUGCUGCCAAUGGGUCCCAACAGGGAGCACCUGUGGCUGCCAGGCCCCCACUGAACAGAAAAAUAAGGGUCCCUGAAAAUAUCAGGCAGUAUGUGACAAGGAAUAUCAUCUUAACGCCUUUGCCCCUAAGGAAACCCAUGGGACGACCUACAUCUUCCAGGACACCUGUUCCCACCACAUCCCCUGGGCAACCUGAUUCUGUUGCAUCCCCUGAGGAUGCACCUGAUCUGGCCAGGACUCCUGAGGAUACACCUUUGCCUGGUGCAUCCCCUGAGGGAGCACCUCUUCCAACCAGGUCCUCUGAGGGAGAUCCUCUUCCAGCCAGGUCACCUCUGAAGUCGUUUGUGCUUGCUGCAUACCCUGAGGAGGCAUCUGUACUCACCACCUCCCCUGAGGGAGCACAUCUUCCAGCCAGAUCCUCUGAGGCAGCACAUGUGCCUGCAGCGUCCUUGGAGGAAGCACCUGUUCCAGCCAGGUCACCUCUAAAUGCAUCUGUGCCUACUGCAUACCCCAAGGAGGCAUCUUUACUCACCACCUCCCCUGAGGGAGCAACUCGUCUGGCCAGGUCCCCUGAGAGAGCAUCUGUACCCGCUGGGUCUACUGAGGUGGGAGCACCUCUUCUGAACAGGUCCUCCAAGGGAGCCCCUGUGCCUGCUGCACCCCCUGUGGAAGCACCUGUACCGUCCAGGUCCACUGAGGAAGCACCUAUGUCCUGUGCAUCCCCCAGAGAAGUACCUGUACCCACCACAUCCCCUAAGAGAGCGCCUGUGCCUUCUGCAUUGCCAGAGGAAGUACCUCUGCCUGGUGCUUCUUCUAAGGGAGCAACUGUGUCCACUGUUCCAGCCAGUUCCCAUGGGGAAUCAGCUACACCCGUCACCUCCAUUGAUGGAGCACACAGACUUACCACACCCCCACAGGGGUCACCUCGGAAGAGGUCAUUCCCAUGGAGCAAUGAAGCUUCUGACAAUGUAGGCAUGGUUUAUCUUCCUCCACUGAAAAAACAAUGUAUGGAGAAAGACUCUACAGCCUCUCCAUGUUCUCAGCACACUAUGAAGAGGAUGUGCCCAUGGACCACUGGAGAUUCGGACAAUGAUGUGCUUCAGCCUCCUCCACUUAAGAAACGAUGUGUGAGAAAAGCCCAGUACCUAAAGAGCACACAUGUAAAGGAUUGUGUACGUCAGCGAUUUCCACAAAAACAGCAGAGCAUCAAAUGAAAGAGGACCUUCACCUUCGCACUUUACUACUGUUACUGUGUUUUUUGAUAAUGAAUGAAUCAAUAAAAACC